GCUGGGUAUAGUUGUGCAUGCCUGCAAUCCCAGCAGCUUGGGAGGCUGAGACAGGAGGAUUGUGAGUUCAAAGUCAGCCUUAGCAACUUAGUGAGGCCCUAAGCAACUUAGUGAGACCCUGCCUCAA
rnacentral:sRNA from 1 species